CCGGCGCACGGGUGAGUAACACGUAUGCAGUCCACCUGUAACAGGGGAUAACCCGGAGAAAUCCGGACUAAUACCCCAUAAUAUGGGCGCUCCGCAUGGAGAGUUCAUUAAAGAGAGCAAUUUUGGUUACAGACGAGCAUGCGCUCCAUUAGCCAGUUGGCGGGGUAACGGCCCACCAAGGCGACGAUGGAUAGGGGUUCUGAGAGGAAGGUCCCCCACAUUGGAACUGAGACACGGUCCAA
rnacentral:rRNA from 1 species